CCUACGGGAGACAGCAGUGGGGAAUAUUGGACAAUGGGGGAAACCCUGAUCCAGCGACGCCGCGUGAGUGAAGAAGUAUUUCGGUGCGUAAAGCUCUAUCAGCAGGAAAGAAAAUGACGGUACCUGACUAAGAAGCCCCGGCUAACUACGUGCAAGCAGCCGCGGUAAUACGUAGGGGGCAAGCGUUAUCCGGAUUUACUGGGGGUAAAGGGAGCGUAGACGGCAGCACAAGUCUGGAGUGAAAUGCCGGGGCCCAACCCCGGAACUGCUCUGGAAACUGUGAAGCUUGAGUGCAGGAGAGGUAAGCGGAAUUCCUGGUGUAGCGGUGAAAUGCGUAGAUAUCAGGAGGAACACCGGCGGCGAAGGCGGCUUACUGGACUGUAACUGACGUUGAGGCUCGAAGGCGUGGGGAGCAAACAGGAUUAGAUACCCGGGUAGUC
rnacentral:rRNA from 1 species